AGAGUUUGAUCCUGGCUCAGGAUGAACGCUAGCGAUAGGCCUAACACAUGCAAGUCGAGGGGCAUCACAAAGAGUAGCAAUACUUUUGGUGGCGACCGGCGGAUGGGUGAGUAACACGUAUGCAACCUACCUUCUACAUUGGGAUAACCCGUUGAAAGACGGACUAAUACCGAAUAAUACAGGGGCGCCACAUGGUGAUAUUUGUUAGAGUUUCGAGCAAUCGAUUCGGUAGAAGAUGGGCAUGCGUAUGAUUAGCUAGUUGGUGAGGUAACGGCUCACCAAGGCAACGAUCAUUAGGGGUUCUGAGAGGAAGGUCCCCCACACUGGUACUGAGACACGGACCAGACUCCUACGGGAGGCAGCAGUGAGGAAUAUUGGUCAAUGGGCGCGAGCCUGAACCAGCCAAGUCGCGUGAAGGAAGACUGUCCUAUGGAUUGUAAACUUCUUUUGUACAGGAAUAAAGUGUUCUACGUGUAGGAUUUUGCAUGUACUGUACGAAUAAGGAUCGGCUAACUCCGUGCCAGCAGCCGCGGUAAUACGGAGGAUCCGAGCGUUGUCCGGAUUUAUUGGGUUCAAAGGGUGCGUAGGUGGACUGAUAAGUCAGUGGUGAAAGUUUGCAGCUUAACUGUAAAAUUGCCGUUGAAACUGUUGGUCUUGAGUGCAAAUGGGGUAGGCGGAAUGUGUUGUGUAGCGGUGAAAUGCUUAGAUAUAACACAGAACACCGAUUGCGAAGGCAGCUUACUGGGAUGCAACUGACACUGAUGCACGAAGGCGUGGGGAUCAAACAGGAUUAGAUACCCCGGUAGU
rnacentral:rRNA from 1 species